rnacentral:rRNA from 1 species
ACCCAUGCAUGUUUAUUGAAUAUAAAGAAAAGACGAACAGCUCAGUAACUCUUAUUUGAUUUGAUGUAUUAGGAUUCUAACUAUGUUAAAUUAUAGGUAACAAUAAUACAAUAAGAAUAAGAUCUAUCAGUUAGUUGUUAAGGUAAUGGCUUAACAAGACUAUGACGGAUAACGGUAUUACUUUGUAAUAUUCCGGAGAAGGAGCCUGAGAGAUUGCUACUAAGUCUAAGGAUUGCAGCAGGGGCGAAACUUGACCUAUGAUAUUAUAUUGAGGCAGUUAUGAGUAGUAUUUUAUAAUUAUUGUAGUAUUGUAAGUACAUAUUACAAGAUAAAUCGGAGGGCAAAUCGAGUGCCAGCAGCCGCGGUAAUACUUGUUCCGAUAGUGUGUAUGAUGAUUGAUGCAGUUAAAAAGUCUGUAGUUUAUUUAUAAUAAGCAUUGUAAGGUAUACUGUAUGGUUAGGAGAGAGAUGAAAUGUGAUAACCCUAACUGGAUGAACAGAAGCGAAAGCUGUAUACUUAAAUGUAUUAUUAGAACAAGGACGUAAGCUAGAGGAUCGAAGAUGAUUAGAUACCAUUGUAGUUCUAGCAGUAAACUAUGUUGAAUCAUAGAUAUAUUUUGAUAUAUAUUUAUGUAGAGAAAUUAAGAUUAUAUUGACUCUGGGGAUAGUAUGAUCGCAAGAUUGAAAAUUAAAGAAAUUGACGGAAGAAUACCACAAGGAGUGGAUUGUGCGGCUUAAUUUGACUCAACGCGGGGUAAUUUACCAGGUAUAACAUGGUAUAAUAUUUUAUCAUGAUAGUGGUGCAUGGCCGUUUCCAAUGGAUGCUGUGAAGUAAUGAUUAAUUUCAACAAGAUGUGAGACCCUCAUUUAGACAGAUGUAGUGAUACAUAUGAAGGAGAGGAUUAAAACAGGUCCGUUAUGCCCUAAGAUAAUCUGGGUUGCACGCGCAAUACAAUAAUAUUUGAUAUUAUAAGGGAUAAUAUAAUGUAAGAUAUAUUUGAACAUGGAAUUGCUAGUAAAUUUUAUUUAAUAAGUAGAAUUGAAUGAGUCCCUGUUCUUUGUACACACCGCCCGUCGCUAUCUAAGAUGGUAUUAUCUAUGAACAAAUUUAUAAAGUGAAUAGAUAGUACUAGAUCUGAUAUAAGUCGUAA